rnacentral:rRNA from 1 species
GUGCCAGCAGCCGCGGUAAUACGUAGGUGGCAAGCGUUGUCCGGAUUUACUGGGCGUAAAGCGCGCGCAGGCGGCUGAUUAAGUCCGAUGUGAAAUCUCCCGGCUCAACCGGGAGCGGUCAUUGGAUACUGGUCGGCUUGAGGGAGGCAGAGGAGAGUGGAAUUCCCGGUGUAGUGGUGGAAUGCGUAGAUAUCGGGAGGAACACCAGCGGCGAAGGCGGCUCUCUGGGCCUUUCCUGACGCUGAGGCGCGAAAGCGUGGGGAGCAAACCGGAUUAGAAACCCGGGUAGUCC